rnacentral:ncRNA from 1 species
AAAAAGAUUUUCGAAUCAGGCCGGGAUGCUCCGCCAUCCUGUGUACUCGGUCGUACAUCCAGCCGGUUGCCUGAUUCCUUGCAUUGAAGCGAUGUACGGAGUUUAUAGAGC